UGUUGAAGGAAUUGUUCUGAAUUGGUUCCAUAUAAACUGAAUUGAAUUAAAAGUUAUUCAUAGAAACACUAAAGUUAUGUGUAAAGUGUUUACUGGGGUCCCCAUACACUUCACAGGAGUCGCCCCCUGUUGGCUGAUAUAAAUAAUGCUGUCUUAAACCACAUGGGCUUCUUGAAGCUAUGCCCAUCUUUUAUAUACAGUCUCUGAUUUGGGUCCAUGAUUAUUUAAGGCGCUGGUUUUAUCGAGUAUCUGUUUCCAAUCAACGACAACAUAAAAACGUCCCCAUUUAAAUGUUAACAUUGAAACAUGUUCAUAGACUAUAAAGAGCAUCUGUUACCUGCUACCCACAAAAAAGUUUGUGUUUGUGGUUGUAAAGCUGCGUGGUUACAAGCAGCAGGAAGAACAGGCGUGUUCACAGAGGCCGAGUUCCUGUUCUCAGAUCACACAGGAACUAUUCAGACACUUCCCACUGUGUCAGGAUGAAGGUGAAGAUCUUCUGCUGCCUGUUAGCCUGCACUCUGGGCUCUAAUGUCACUGCUGGUUUAACCCAUGAAGUAUUUAAGGAGGGGACACAGGUCAGUCUGCGCUGUCCUCACUCUGUGGAGGGUAAAGUGAGGUGGAGCAGAGAGAGUGGAGGAAACAGAACUGACAUACUUACAGCUGAUGGAGACGGAAAUAUAAAACACAUCAAUGAUCCACAGAAACGAUACAGUUCACUGGCUGAUCGAUCUCUGAUCAUCGUCAGAGCUUCUGUCUCAGACUCUGGCAGAUACUUCUGUAACCAUGAAGCAGCUGUGGAGCUGACAGUGAUCCCAUCAGGAACUAAAAUAGUGAGUGUUGCAGAGAGGAGCAGCAUCACUCUGAACUGUUCUCAUCAUGUUGGAGGAUCAGCUGUUCCCACAUGGAGCAGAGACUCUGGAGAAAUAAAUGAAGGAAGGAUUUCUGUUUCCACUGAGGACAAAACAUUAAGUAUAAGAGAAGCUGAGCCUGCUGACUCUGGACUGUACAACUGUGAUGGAAAACCAGCUGUUUAUCUGAAUGUGACCAAAGGACAGAGAUCUGACAGAGAUAAUGAAACAACCUCAGCAACAAUAACUACAACAGUUACUCAUCAGCCAGCAGAGACAUCUGCUCCGUCAGGUGUGAUUCCAACAAAGACAUCAGUCAGCUUCACAGGUUUAAAUGUAUAAUUCUCAGUCACAUGUAUGCAAAUUAAAUCCGUUCUGCUGUUUACAGAAAGUAUAAAUGACAUUUAUGUUUGAGGUACGAUGCUCUGUAAGACAAACUCAGCUGUUCUGAAUUACAUUUUAAAAAACACUGCUCAAAAACUUAAAGGAAGACUUUGAAAACACGUCAAACUAUUACUGCAUAUCUAAUAUGAACGAGGGGAUGUGUUAGCAAUGGAAGGAUGCCACAUCGUUGGAUGGAAAUGAAAAUUAUAAACUGACAGAGGCUGAAUUCAAAGACACCCUGAGACACAGCAAAGCUUCCAGCUGUGGCACGUUUUCAA
rnacentral:lncRNA from 1 species